rnacentral:rRNA from 1 species
AGUGAACGCUGGCGGUAGGCCUAACACAUGCAAGUCGAACGGCAGCACAGUAAGAGCUUGCUCUUACGGGUGGCGAGUGGCGGACGGGUGAGGAAUACAUCGGAAUCUACUUUUUCGUGGGGGAUAACGUAGGGAAACUUACGCUAAUACCGCAUACGACCUACGGGUGAAAGCAGGGGAUCUUCGGACCUUGCGCGAUUGAAUGAGCCGAUGUCGGAUUAGCUAGUUGGCGGGGUAAAGGCCCACCAAGGCGACGAUCCGUAGCUGGUCUGAGGGGAUGAUCAGCCACACUGGAACUGAGACACGGUCAAGACUCCUACGGGAGGCAGCAGUGGGGAAUAUUGGACAAUGGGCGCAAGCCUGAUCCAGCCAUACCGCGUGGGUGAAGAAGGCCUUCGGGUUGUAAAGCCCUUUUGUUGGGAAAGAAAAGCAGCAGGUUAAUACCCCGCUGUUCUGACGGUACCCAAAGAAUAAGCACCGGCUAACUUCGUG